rnacentral:rRNA from 1 species
AUUGAACGCUGGCGGCAGGCUUAACACAUGCAAGUCGAGCGGAGUGAUGGUGCUUGCACUAUCACUUAGCGGCGGACGGGUGAGUAAUGCUUAGGAAUCUGCCUAUUAGUGGGGGACAACAUCUCGAAAGGGAUGCUAAUACCGCAUACGUCCUACGGGAGAAAGCAGGGGAUCACUUGUGACCUUGCGCUAAUAGAUGAGCCUAAGUCGGAUUAGCUAGUUGGUGGGGUAAAGGCCUACCAAGGCGACGAUCUGUAGCGGGUCUGAGAGGAUGAUCCGCCACACUGGGACGGAGACACGGCCCAGAAUCCUACGGGAGGCAGCAGUGGGGAAUAUUGGACAAUGGGGGGUACCCUGAUCCAGCCAUGCCGCGUGUGUGAAGAAGGCCUUAUGGUUGUAAAGCACUUUAAGCGAGGAGGAGGCUCUUUUGGUUAAUACCCAAGAUGAGUGGACGUUACUCGCAGAAUAAGCACCGGCUAACUCUGUGCCAGCCGCCGCGGUAA